AAAUUUUAAAAAUAUUUUUUUACCCUUGAAUUUGCAAUUCAAUAUCCUUUAUUAAUUAGACUAUAAAAUU
rnacentral:tRNA from 1 species